CGCUUGCGUUUCUCAAACACGGAAACAUUUAUUGAGAAGAGAAACCGAAACUACUGAAGAGUUUUUGAAAGCGUGACUGUAUUUGUGCAGUCAGUAAAAUGGCAGAAGCGAAUCUUUCAGUGUCUCAGGAUCAGUUCAUCUGUUCAAUCUGUCUGGAUUUACUGAAGGAUCCAGUGACCAUUCCCUGUGGACACAGUUACUGUAUGAGCUGUAUUACAAACUGCUGGAAUCAAGAUGAUCAGAAGAGAAACUACAGCUGCCCUCAGUGCAGACAGACCUUCAAUACAAGACCUGAUUUAUAUAAAAAUGUGGUGUUUGCUCAGAUGGUGGAGAUGCUGAAGAAGACAAAACUUCAGACUGAUCGAUCUGCUCUCAGUUCUGCUGGACCUGAAGAUGUGGAGUGUGACGUCUGUACUGAGAGAAAAUACAAAGCUAUCAAGUCCUGUCUGGUGUGUCUUGAAUCUUACUGUCAAACUCACUUUGAAAGACAUGAAGAACUUCAGUCAGGUAGACGACACAAAGUGAUUGAUGUGACAGGAAGACUUCAGGAGAUGAUCUGCUCUCAACAUGACAAACUCAUCGAGGUUUACUGUCGCACUGAUCAGAGAUGUAUUUGUUUGCUUUGUUUGGUGGAUGAACAUAAAAAUCACGACACUGUAUCAGCUGCAGCAGAGAGAACUGAGAAACAGAGAUUACUGGAGGACAAGCAGAGAAAACUCCAUCAGAGAAUCCAGGAGAAAGAGAAGAAGCUUCAGGAUCUAAGAGAGGCUGUGAAGAUUCACACGAUCUCUGCACAGACAGCAGUGGACGACACUGAGAGGAUCUUUACUCAACUGAUCCGAUCCAUUGAGAGAAGACGAUCUGAGGUGAUACAACUGAUCAGAGAUCAGGAAAAGACUGCAGUGAGUCGAGCUGAAGAUCUCUUGAAGAAACUGAAGCAGGAGAUUGAUGAUCUGAGGAGGAGAAAUGAUGAGAUGGAGAAACUUUCACAAACAAAAGAUCACAUCAGUUUCCUUCAGAGUUUUCAGUCUCUCUCUUCAUCUUCUGGAUCUUCAGACAACAUCACUGUCUCUUCUCUUCUCUCUUUUGAUGAUGUGAUGAAAUCUGUUACUAAACUGAAAGAAAAGAUGGAGGAUUUCUGUAAAGAAGAGAUUGAAAAGAUAUCUGAGAAAGAAAUGAUUCCCACCGAUGAACCCAAGAUCAGAGAGGAGUUCCUAAAGUAUUUCAGUUUUUUCUCUCUGGAUCCAAACACAGCAUGUGGAGUUAUCUGUCUGUAUGAGGAGAACACAGCGGCUACUCGCACUAAAACAGUUCAGCUGUAUCCUGAUCAUCCAGACAGAUUUGAUGGUUGGCCUCAGGUGUUGUCUAAAGAGAGUUUAUGUGGACGCUGUUACUGGGAGAUUGAAUGGAGUGGUGAUAAUGGUGUGUAUAUAUCAGUGUCAUAUAAGAGCAUCAGCAGGAAGAGAGGUGGUGAUGACGGUAGAUUUGGACGUAAUGAUCAGUCCUGGAGUUUGUUCUGUUGUCCCUCUGGAUGUUCAUUUUGGCACAAUAAGAUAAAGACAAAUCUCCCAGUAGUCUCCAGUAAAAUAGGAGUUUAUGUGGAUCACAGUUCAGGAUCUCUGUCCAUCUACAGCGUCUCUGACACAAUGACCCUCAUCCACAGAGUCAACACCACAUUCACUAAACCUCUCUAUCCUGGGUUUUCGUUAGGUUACAACUCAACAGUGAAACUGUGUCAUAUAUAACAUUAUAAAUGAUAAAUGUUCACUAGUAUAUACAGUAUACAUAAGUGUCACCUAAACCUGUAAAUGGGAUAAUUUAACAAAUCAAAAGACAAAUGUCAUGGAGUGACUUAAACCAGCGGAACCAAAAUGGCGGAAAUAGGACCCUUUUAACUGUAACACCAGGCCGGUUCUGGCCAACUCCGGGCAAACAAAUUAAGCGUUAUUUGGAUCAGGUGUGCUUAAUAAAUGUGGCGAUUGGUGAUUGGGCAUUGUAAGGAAGAGGAGGCACAUAAAUAGGGCUUUAGGAAAUUAAAAGGGUGAAGUAUAUUCCAGCGAAGUGCUGUGGCCAAGACGGAAGUGUUUGGCGUGGUUGAAGAGACGUGUUGAGGCGGAUAUUGCAGACUGGGCAGAAGUUUGGGGCUGAAGAACCAUGGAGUUAAGUGUUGAAACAUUCCCUUUGAAGUAUUUGUGUUGACAUGUGCUAUUUACCUUGAAGAGCUUGUGUACAUUGAGAAAGCACCGGAAACGCCUUGAGAAGAGGAAGGAACGGAGAAAUCGUUGCACUAUCGACCUUGGAUACACCAGCCAUCUGGAAGAGAGGGGGAAGUAUUCAGUGUCAACAAACCUGUGAGUUAUGUUGGAAUUGUUGCCUUGCCAAUGACAUCGUUGCUAAUAUUGUAUCCCAGUGUGUGUCCUGUGUGUUCGAUCAGUGUGUGAGCGGCCCCACCCGUGAUAAGGAUCGGUGGGUGAGCCGGGACUGACCGAGAAGAAAAAGGAGUGGGUUUUGAAGGUCGUGGUCCCCACAUUCUCAUAUCGUCGUCCUCUUCACCAGCCCUUCGACUAUUCAGGACGAUAGUCCCGGCCCAACGUUGUGAGUCUGACCUUAAUGCACCGUGAGUGUGUGGAGUGCGGUGGGUGAGUCUUUUGAUGUGUGUACACCUGAGAGUUUGUAGUGUUGUGCUGUUUCAGUGUUGUCAGACAUCACUUUCCUAGGCUGAAGAAGGAGCCCUGUCAUAGGAGAGUGGAGUGGCGACAUUGGACGGCUGUCCCCUAUAUAUAUUCACUCAACUGCGACUCCUUAACCCCUCUUUCCCCCCACCUGGUGGUGGUGUGGCAACUGCAUGAAGUAAGAAUUUGCUGUGAAUAUUGUGUGGAGCAUCGAGAGAGGGAAAAACUUGAAUUGGCUGCUGCGUGGAAAAAGCAUGCGUGCUGUCUCUGUGUAAAUUAUACAUCUGUUGAGAGUUUUCAGAUGCCUGCCCCUGUCUAGAUCUCUUGUCCCGCUGUUUGGAAGAGAGGAGAGGGAAGCGAUUGGCCCACUCGAGCAGUACAUCAUAUGGUGUGGCACUUGACCUCAACCUACCCACCUUUGUGAUACCACCUGUGGGCGUGCUAGGUACCUCCACCGGUCCUUCGUCGAAACAAAGAGGUGUUGUAUCCCUUCCUAGAUGUGCAUUGAAGUAAUAUACUGUUAAAGGGAAUUUGUGUGUUUGUCUGCUGCCAGUCUGCAGGUCUGAGCCAAGGGCUCUGUAUCGUCGUGGGACUCUUCUACUACGUGUGGGAAGUCAACGUGCUCCAUAGAAGUCUGUCCUAGUGAGGAACGCCAGAAGUUUGCUGUGUGCAUGAGGGAGGUUGGAGUGUCCAUCUAUAGUACAUCUGGAAGAAACAAGGGGCGAAAGCUGAGAAUACUCACUUGCAAUUCACGUGUGGAAAAAGAGAGGAAGUUGGGAAGAUCUACCUGCAUAUCCCCGUGAGAGAGUCAGAAGCGACUCGGAUUCGAAGUUCUCCAGUCCCAGAGAGCUUGGCCAUUUUUAAAGUAUCCCUUUCCCCUUCCCCAUACCCUUUUUAAUAAAUAAAUAUUGUUUUAACUUGCAUGUUCUCGUCCGUCUGGUCAUUGGGGUGUUUUUGGGACCUCCUUGGGGUGGAAACUGAGGGAGGAGCGAGACUCACGAUAGUGGUGGUCCGCUCCGACCUGUGACACAAAUGAUAAUUUAUGGUCUAUAUGUAAUAUUUCAUUCUUAUAGCUUUGAUAUUUUUCUGUCUAACUUUAAAAUGCAUUGAAAUGCAACAUCUUAGACGCAUUGGAUUUAUGUUUUGAUUUAUUUAAUGU